CCCUUAUUUGCCACAUUAUGCUUUUUGGUUAGACUCUGCAUGAAGCUUGUUCAUCUGCAAUAAGGAAUGACUCGCUGGACUCCUAUUUACACGUUGCUAAUGGAACUUAUGUCUUCACUGCUAACAAUUGUGUGAUGUGCACCUGCAACGCAGCAAAUAACUGGACAUUACAUUGCCAGCCAUCCCAGCUUAAGCCAUCUAAUCAGUCGGGUUGCCCCUCAAUGCAAUGCGAGGGUUCAAAUUUAUUCCUGGGCAACUCAACUUCGACAUCUUGUAACCGCACAACCUGUGCCUAUGCUGGUUAUAUGAACCAGACUAUUCUAACAGUGCUUGUCACCGAUAACACUUGUCCAGUUUCAAAUAGCUUCGCCAUGAAGGACAGUUUUCGGGCAUUUAGCUGGAACUUCUUCCUGAUUUUGAUCUUGCCCCUGCUCUCAUUCCAUCAUAUUCAGUGAUGACGUCUGUAUCAAAGACUGUCACCCUCGAUGCUUACUUGUAUGUCUUCGCCUUCAAUGCACGCCGGUAUGUCUGUAAGUGUUGCGCAUGUCACAGAGAUGUCAGGUACCUGUUUUAUCCAUUGGCGCUUCUGUACCAUAGAAUUGUAGCUUCCCUUGUUCCAAUGGAAAAAUUCGAUUCUUCUUUUUUGGGUUCCAUUCUUAGAUGGCUAGACUUAUUGUUUGCUAGUUUAUAUGGGAGUUGUGCAAUGUUGAAACUCUAUUGCACCUUCAAGAAUUCGAUGUUGUCCUCGCCAAUGUGUCCAGACUUGCGAUUUUUUUUUCUUUAUUCAUUUUCUGCAAUGGCAACGUAUGCGAUUUUCCUGUUCAA